AUUAUGGUACAUCUUAAUGGGUGUCUAGGUAUAUAACACAUGCAAGUUUAAUAACUAAUUAGUUAGUUAUAGCGUAGGGGUCAGUAAAGUUGAGAAUUUGCCUGAGAGAUCAUAGUAAUAAUGAAUAUGUAAAGGAAAGGAAAUUAUUUCGCUCUUAGAUUAGCUCAAUCCCUAUUAGGUAGUUGGAGGGGUAAUGCUUAACAAGCCGAUAAUGGGUAAUAUUGGAUGACAGUCCUAUAUGUGACGUUGGAAAUGAAAAAGUCCAGAGCAUCUAACGAUGCGCAGCAGUGAAGAAUAUUGGUCAAUGCACAACAGUGUGAACCAGUGACCUAGAGACUUUUCUUUUGUAGAAGGAAAAGUUAAGAAAUUUUAAAUGAUGAUUAAAAUUUUGAUUAGUCCUGUCCAAUAUCUGUGCCAGCAGAAGCGGCUAUACAGAAGGGGCGACCCAUGGGAAUAUUAAUUAGGUGUAAAGGGUACGUAGCCAGUCUUUAUUCUUAAGACUUGAAUUUAAUAGAAGUAACGAUAAUACUCAGAGUUAGAUCUGAUAUGUGUUGAUACUGAGGGGAAUGCUAAAUGGCGAAGGCAAGUUACUAAUAAAAAUUGACGGUAAGGUACGAAAGUUAGGGUAUAGACAGAGAUUAGAUACCUCAUUAUUCCUAACCGUAAACGAUGCAAACAAGGUGUUAGUUAAAAACUAGUGCCGAGAUUAACGAGUUUAGUUUGCCACCUGUAGAGUACGGUCGCAUGGCUGAAAUACAAAUAAUUAGACGGCUUUAAAGCAAACGGAGUGGAGCAUGUUGUUUAAUUCGAUGACCCGCGAAAAAUCUUACCACAUCUUGCAUAUUUUAAAUCUUUAAUUAGAAUUAAUUUACAGGUAUUGCAUGGUUGUCGUCAGUUAGUGCCAGUGAGGCGUCCGGUUAAUUCCAAUAAACUAACGCAAACCUCUAUGUAAAUUUAUACUUUACAAUGUACUCUGACGAAGGGUGCACUGAUAGGGGGAGUAAGACAAAUCCUCAUGAUCCUUAUGGUGUGGGCUAUAGACGUGCUACA
rnacentral:rRNA from 1 species